UCCAUUUUUCUCAGUGGCUCGGCUCUGCUCCCACGAGCCCUUUCCCCACCACUUGGGGAAGGAGAGUCCGAUCUGGCUGCGGUGCAUGGCCCCUCUUUCCCCCAAAGCUCACGGCCGGAGCUGAGUGGUGAGGGUGGCGAGAAGCAGGGCUCUGAGACCUCUUCACUCGGCCCUCCAUCAGUGUUGGCGCACGACUUCCACCACCUCCUGCGCCUCCCCACCGAUGAAACAAGGGCCACGCUGCCCAGCUGGGACAAGAGUCUGUCCACACAGAGGAUGUGACCUCAUGGAGGAUGCUGGGACAAGGAAACCUGUCACCACACAGGGCUUUGGCUCGCCUCCCACCUCCCACCUUCCCCCCUUCUCUAGCCUUACCACAUGUGGUGUCCCCAGCAAGCCGCCCUCUCCUCACACCUCUGUGCCCCUGCACGU